UAUAAUAUCAAAAUAAUAUAAAACAUACUGUAAAAAGUUUCUGUAAAUUUACACCCAGAUUCCAACAUUAUUCACCGGUUUCCUUUAAUAAACAGGACUUUCAGGUCAUUAGUAAGACAAAUAUGUAAAAUCAGGCGAUUUUAGGCGAGAAGAAGAUGAUACGUUGGAUAUUUUUUAGUCUAUGGUUGGAACUUACUGUCUAUGGGUUGGAAUCAUACCCAAACCCAUCGAAAGCCAUCAACACAAUAAGGGAUGUGCGACUGUAGCUGAUGAGUCUUCCAAGCCUAUCUGUGACUCCUCGCCUGAUAUUACUAGGUGAACGACAAGGUAAUCGUCAAAAGUGGAUGGUCAGCAUUGAAUCCUAAAUCGUUUGUGAAGGGUCCAACCUCGGCACAUUUCUAACAGGCCUUGCGACAUGUUUCUCCACCUUCUACAUUCUGAAUCUGCAAUAUCAGGAGGAGGCAGCGUGCACCCUUGAAUUCAUCCAGAGAAAAAAGGCCCAGAAGAAGCCUAAGAACAAUCACUAAUAAGUAAAGUGAAUGUUACUUGAUUUCUCAUGAAUGUUACUUGAUUUCUUCCCUGAUUAUCAUUUAUACUAAUCUCUGUACUUUAAAUUCUUCUGGACACAAUCUGUCAGUUUAUUCAUUCUCACAUGUACACAAGCCGAAUGCGAUGCAAUGAUAUUGAUAAUUGAUAAAUAUCUGUGAUAAUUAUUCUGUAUCUUAUUUGAUUUUGAAAUAGUACUACUGUAGAUAACAUGUCUACAUUUACAUACAUAUCUGAUACACAAGCCUAAUGCGAUGUUUUUAUUUUCCAUUCUUUUGUACCUUAUUCCCGAUUUUUGAAAUACAACUAGAUCUUGUGUCUACAUUUUACAUUCAUACGUGAUACACGAGCCUAAUGCGAUGUUUUUGUUUUUCAUGAUAAUUCUUCUGUACCUUAUUCCUUAAAUACGAUUUUCAAAAACUACUAGAUAGCGUGUCUACUUUUUAAACGGGCCUAAUGCAAUGUUUUUGUUUUCUAUUGUAAUUCCUCUGUGUCUUAUUGCCUGUUCUUUGAAAUCCGAUUUUCAAAAUACUACUACGUAUCUACACUUUACAUUCAUACAUGAUACACAAGCCUAAUGCGAUGUUUUUAUUUUCCAUGAUAAUUCUUCUGUGUCUUAUUCCCUGAUCCUGAAAUAUGAUUAUAGUCAGUCUACAUUUUCCUAAAUUACUAUUUACUAUUAUCUUGCUUCAUGUCCCUUCAUUUUCAUCUUUCAAAAAGAUUACUUUACUGUUAGACUGUCAAGUAAGUGCUGUGAAAUAAAAUAUCUGUUAAACUACAAAUAAGUAACUGAUGUGAAAACAUGGAUUUUUAUCUUUAAAAUGUUGUUAAAAUGAACUCAAUU